ACGCUGGCGGCAUGCCUAACACAUGCAAGUCGAACGGUAACAGGUCUUCGGAUGCUGACGAGUGGCGGACGGGUGAGUAAUGCGUAGGAAUCUGUCUUUUAGUGGGGGACAACCCAGGGAAACUUGGGCUAAUUCCGCAUGAGCCCUGAGGGGGAAAGCGGGGGAUCUUCGGGCCUCGCGCUAAGAGAGGAGCCUACGUCCGAUUAGCUAGUUGGCGGGGUAAAGGCCCACCAAGGCGACGAUCGGUAGCUGGUCUGAGAGGACGACCAGCCACACUGGGACUGAGACACGGCCCAGACUCCUACGGGAGGCAGCAGUGGGGAGUUUUUCGCAAUGGGGGCAACCCUGACGAAGCAAUGCCGCGUGGAUGAAGAAGGCCUUCGGGUUGUAAAGUCCUUUCGUGGAGGACGAAAAGGUGGGUUCUAAUACAAUCUGCUAUUGACGUGAAUCCAAGAAGAAGCACCGGCUAACUCCGUGCCAGCAGCCGCGGUAAUACGGGGGGUGCAAGCGUUAAUCGGAAUCACUGGGCGUAAAGGGUGCGUAGCGGUACGUUAGGUCUGUCGUGAAAUCCCCGGGCUCAACCUGGGAAUGGCG
rnacentral:rRNA from 1 species